GCCCGUGUGGCCGAGCGGUUCUAGGCGCUGCACUCCGGCUGCUAUGGUCGCAGGUUCGAAUCCUGCCUCGGGCA